CGGAGGGCACGGCUUCUUAGUAAAUGGAGGAAUCUUCGGAAGAGGAGGAAGUGGCUUGUGAGGAAUAGGAGGGAAGGGUUUCGGUUUGUAAAUAGGAACCGGCGGUGGAAGCGGCUUCUUAUAAACCGGCACCGGAUGAGGCUUAUAAACCGGUGGUUUGUAGACAGGAACCGGCGGUGGAAGCGGCUUCUUAUAAACCGGCACCGGAGGAGGCUUAUAAACCGGUGGUUUGUAGACAGGAACCGGUGGAGGGAGUGGUUUCUUGUAGACCGGCACCGGAUGAGGCUUAUAAACCGGUGGUGGAAGAGGUUUCUUGUAGAUGGGAGGGUGAGGGUAAUGAUGGUGGAAGCUUUUCAAUGGCGGAAGUGGUGGAAGCUUAGGCAAUGGAGGGAAGUUGUGGUGGUGGUGAGGCCAAAAGGAGGCUGAGACACAUGUUAUUGGUGAGAAUUUGAGGUUCUCUUUUAACCCAAACUGGUGUUUCUG
rnacentral:lncRNA from 1 species